rnacentral:rRNA from 1 species
GGCUCAGAUUGUACGCUGGCGGCAUGCCUUACACAUGCAAGUCGAACGGCAGCAUAGGAGCUUGCUCCUGAUGGCGAGUGGCGAACGGGUGAGUAAUAUAUCGGAACGUGCCCUAGAGUGGGGGAUAACUAGUCGAAAGAUUAGCUAAUACCGCAUACGAUCUACGGAUGAAAGUGGGGGAUCGCAAGACCUCAUGCUCCUGGAGCGGCCGAUAUCUGAUUAGCUAGUUGGUGGGGUAAAAGCUCACCAAGGCGACGAUCAGUAGCUGGUCUGAGAGGACGACCAGCCACACUGGGACUGAGACACGGCCCAGACUCCUACGGGAGGCAGCAGUGGGGAAUUUUGGACAAUGGGGGCAACCCUGAUCCAGCAAUGCCGCGUGAGUGAAGAAGG